GGGAGUGUAGCUCAAUGGUAGAGUGCCUACCUAGCAUGUGCAGGGUCUGGGUUCAAUCCCCAGCACCACCA
rnacentral:tRNA from 1 species